rnacentral:rRNA from 1 species
AUACGUAGGUCCCGAACGUUGCGCGAAAUUACUGGGCGUAAAGGGUCCGUAGGCGGUCUGGUAAGUGGAAGGUGAAAGCCUGGGGCUCAACUCCAGAAUUGCCUUCCAAACUGCCGGACUUGAGGCAGGGAGAGGUCGGCGGAAUUCCCGGUGUAGUGGUGAAAUGCGUAGAUAUCGGGAGGAACACCAGUGGCGAAGGCGGCCGACUGGAACUGUCCUGACGCUGAGGGACGAAAGCCAGCGGAGCGAACCGGAUUAGAAACCCUAGUAGUCC